GGGAUCUGGCCUCCCGAAGUCGGCUUGCAGGAGUCGGCUUCAAACCGCCCAGUGCUGCUGCGCUCAAAAGGCGUGGUGGUGAGCGACUGUGGAAAAGGCGUCAACUAAAGACGUCAGGU
rnacentral:ncRNA from 1 species